UACGUAGGGAGCUAGCGUUGUCCGGAAUCAUUGGGCGUAAAGAGCGUGUAGGCGGCCCGGUAAGUCCGCUGUGAAAGUCCAGGGCUCAACCCUGGGAUGCCGGUGGAUACUGUCGGGCUCGAGUCCGGAAGAGGAGUGUGGAAUUCCUGGUGUAGCGGUGAAAUGCGCAGAUAUCAGGAGGAACACCAAUGGCGAAGGCAGCACUCUGGGACGUGACUGACGCUGAGACGCGAAAGCGUGGGGAGCAAACAGG
rnacentral:rRNA from 1 species